rnacentral:lncRNA from 1 species
UUGGAGAUUGUUGAGUGGGAUCGGUUAAAUCCACAAGUAGAUGGAUGGGUGUUGACAUUCUUUUGUUCCUUAGGUUAUGGGUAAAAAUGUAGCUCAGCCAGAGAACACUUAACCCCAUUCCAGAAAUCAAUGAAGUGCAGUGUAACGUGGUUGGAGCAAUGCGGUUCAACACAGUAAUGAAAGCUGCAAGAGGAUUGGGUAGUUAGCACCAGUGUCAUGUGGGGAACAUCCAGGAAGACCCACCCGCACACCAAAACUCUCCCAUCUGGUGUGGAUGUCUGAAAUCCUGCCAUUAGAUUCUCUUCAUCCCUUGAAGUUUGCAAGUCUGGAGAAGGAUGAACACCUUAGGUAUGAGCUUCCAUCUUGUUAGAGAGAAGAGAUUCUAAAGUUUGCCGCAUCGAGUGGAAAGUGGCCUAAACAACCGAAGUCAUUUUCAAUUUACAAUCCAAUGACAAUGGAGUUUCAAUGUGGUGCGUACACGAGCCUCAGGUAUUUUUGAAGUUAACCUCUGUCAACACUACCUUCCUAAUUCCCACCUGUCAGUUCUAGCCACUGCUCAGAUUCAGUAAUCAUAGCAAGAGGGAUGGCAGAAGCUGGAGAAUAGCGGGAAGGUUCUGAGGGGUAAACUGCAGUCAGCUGGCUGCAUUCACUCAGCUCUGAGUGAGUGGGCAGGAGUACAAUGUGCUGGUGUGUAUAC